UGGAUGCACACUGUUUACACUGGC
rnacentral:piRNA from 1 species